rnacentral:rRNA from 1 species
GACGAACCGUGCGAACGUUGUUCGGAAUCACUGGGCUUAAAGGGCGCGUAGGCGGGCUGUCAAGUCCGGGGUGAAAUCUUUCGGCUCAACCGGAAAAGUGCCUUGGAUACUGAUGGUCUGGAGGGAGGUAGGGGUAUGUGGAACUUCCGGUGGAGCGGUGAAAUGCGUUGAUAUCGGAAGGAACGCCGGUGGCGAAAGCGACGUACUGGACCUCUCCUGACGCUGAGGCGCGAAAGCUAGGGGAGCGAACGGG